rnacentral:rRNA from 1 species
UACGGGGGGAGCAAGCGCUGUUCGGAUUUACUGGGCGUAAAGGGCGCGUAGGCGGCGUGACAAGUCACUUGUGAAAUCUCCGGGCUUAACUCGGAGCGGCCAAGUGAUACUGUCGUGCUAGAGUGCGGAAGGGGCUACUGGAAUUCUCGGUGUAGCGGUGAAAUGCGUAGAUAUCGAGAGGAACACCUGCGGCGAAGGCGGGUAGCUGGGCCGACACUGACGCUGAGGCGCGAAAGCUAGGGGAGCGAACGGG